rnacentral:lncRNA from 1 species
AUUUGGGGAUUUUUAUUGGCAAUAUAAGGUCUUAUGCUGCCCCGGAGUUGGUAUGAAUCUAUAGUCAAAACUGUUAAAAUAUUUUUUUUCCAUUAAAAUGGAGAACUGGGUUGUAGAUUUUUAUGAGUAGCUUGGAACUUGUUUCAUGUAAUGCCAUUACACACAAAUAAUUAUGUGUUUUUUGUUUUGAGAGUUCUGUUAAAGUGUUUUGACAAAAGAGAAAAAAUAACUUAUAAAGCUAAAAAAAAAUUAAUUUUUAAAAGUUUAUUUUAAUUUUUUUAAACUUUUACUUUUUAAGUAAACGAUUUUAACAUAAGCUUAGCGGUAUGAAACACAAUUGAUUGACUAUAGAACAAGCAUACACACUUGUUACAUGCUCUAUUUCAAGCCAUCACAGACAAAGAUGGCAAUUUAUUCACAGUACAAAAACAAAAACAAAAACCAAAAAAAAGCUACACACGAAGAGAAAAAAACAAACUGAUCGCGUGCCCACAACAUAACUCUCUCUCUCUCCUCAUGGAUUGGAAGAGAAGUUGAAGUUUAAAUAAUUAUUACGGCGCAUCUGCAGCGAAGUGUAGACCGGCCCAAAUCAAACUGGACCAGAUUAUCCUCCAACUGAUUGUCCCCAAUCAAAAUCUCAGCCUUUGGGCUCAGCCCUCCAUCGGCAAACGCCAAACACUCCCCCCGGACUGGGGCUGGACCAACGAGUUGGCCCCAUAGAUACUCCACACAACGUUUCGGUGACCCAAAACGAAGUAGAUGGUGGGAACACUAGGCUCCAUUCACGUGCUUGGCAACUUUGUCGAGACAAAACAAACGUCAAAAAUGUAAGACUGUGGGUUUCACUCACUUGAGGGACUCCAGAGAGGUGGCCCGUCAAGAACAGAUUGAGAGUGGUAAAAAUGGAGUGCUCCAAGACAGUGUAGGGGUGGUUGCUAAUCGUUGUUCUGAUAAGGCCUUGUUUGGCUGAUGAUGUUUUAAUUGGGAUAGGCUUUCCAUUUAUUUUUAUUGAACUCACUUGUAUAAACUACUCACCCUGUGGGCUAACUAUGAGCGGGGUAUAAGCAGUUUGAGCAGAUAUAUCAAUGCCUGAAAUGAUAUGAUACGGCCCAUUUCGGAAGAAAACGACACCGUUUGAAUUAGGGGAUGCAGUGAGAUACAAGACGAAUUGUGGGCUGAAGUGAGUUGGUCCGGGAGCGAAAAAUAUGCCAUAAAUUACUCAUAAAACAAGGUAUAAAAUUUUCGCCUAAUUUGAUUGGAUGAAAUAUUUAUUUUCCUCUGUCAAGCGCUAUGUGUUAAUUUUCUUAAUAAGCAUUAUCUAUUGUGUAUGGCAAUGGAGAUUGAAAUAGUAAAUAUUUACAAACAAAAUGUUCAUUAUAACAAACAAUAAAAUAACUUGUUUUUAUGGCUGUGACGAAUAUGGAAAAUAAUAAAACUUUUUGCAGACAAAACAUUCCCGAUUCCAAAAGCCUUAAAUAAUAAAAUUUGUCUACGGUGACAGUGGCGACAACGUUAGUGAUAGAAAAUAUUAAAAUUUCACUAUUAAAACAUGUAACAAUAAAAUUUAUCAAUUGCAUGUGGUGGCAGUGGCUCCGGCUGUUGCCAUGGCAGCAACAACAUUGAUGAAUUUGUGACUUUUAUUUGAAUAGCCAUAGAAGGCAAGGGAAAAUUAUCUUAAAAAUAAUUUUACAUUAAAUUAGGAAACCUUUCAACUCAUAAAACAAAAUUUCUACUUUAGACUGCUUUUCUUGCAUCUCAGCCAGGUAUGUUUUAUUGUUUGUAUUGUUAUAGUAAUUAUAUUUGUGCACCGCAUAUGCGUAUCAUUUGACGUGUCAGUUUACACUGUUCAUUUACAUAUGUUGUGUAGAGUUUAUCAAGUGAUCUAAUUGCUCCAUAUAUACUGCCACAUUACAUAAUACUUAAAUGUGGUAUACAAAAGUAAUCAUCAUGGCUAACAACCUACAAGUCAUAAACAAUUUUUUAUGGUAUUUUCAGAAGUUAAUAAUAGUUUUUUUGGGUGAAAAAUCUACUUUACCCCUUGUAGUUUUGACUCGAGCACUUCACCUCCCUCACAUUCAAUAAUAGCCAAGCCAAUUUACCACCACCUUGUUUUGGAGUAAAGUGCAACGUGAACUCUGUUAACUGAAUUGGGGAAAUGACUGUCAUACCCUUUUUUUAUCUUCUUCUCCUAUUUUGUUUUCCUCCUCCUCCUCCUCCUCUUCUUUAUGUGUGUGUGUGUAUAGAUUGGCCAAACAAUUUUUGUUAAGAAGCAAAUUUCAAUAAACCGCUUAUUAUUAAUUAAGCCACAUAUAAUCAAGAUAUUAGACCAAGUUCCCCUAUUCUGCAAGUAAUGUCUGCUUUUAACUUAAGUUUUAAUUAACCAUUCAUUGGAUAUACAUACAAAUGUUUACAUAUGUACAGAUUUAGAAUUCAUGUUAACACAGAUUUCUGUUAAUAAUUGUUUAAAUAGGUUUGGGGAUACAAUAUUCAAGCCCACAAAAUUUUUGUGAUGAAGAAUAGGGGAAGGAUUGGCCCACCACCUGUCACCACCAAUAAUGUUGUCAUUCAUUUUACAGAUUGACAAGAGGACCACAAAAAGCUUUUGGUGGAGCAAUAAUUGAGCAAUUUAUUCUGGUGUUUUGCUACUUUAGACCACAGUGUUGCAUCUCAACCAGGUAUGUUCUUCUGGUAAUGCUCAUUUGAUAUGACAUCUUACAUGAUCUAUUUAAAUGUGUUGCCAGGAUUUAUCAAAUGGUGCAAUUUGUGCACAUAUAUCUAUCACGACAUCACAUGGUACUCAAAUUUAGUCUUUAUAAAAAGUACUUUCUCCAUAUGAACUCCUAAUAGCAGCCAAUCCUUGUCAUGAACAAUUGUUUUUUAUGAUAUUUUUAUAAGGUGAUUUUAAUUAUAAGAUUUUUCAUGUUCUUAUAAAGAUAGGAAAAGAAAAAGAAAAGAAAAAGGUUGUUGGAAAUUUGGAAUUUGUAGACUGAGAAAGUCACUUGCCUCGUGCUAGAAUCUUGUACAUUUUUCUAUUUCUCACGCUACAGCAAAGUAAUCAUCUGAAAAAGUUGUUGGAAUACAAUAUAGAUUCAGAAAGUCAUUUGUAAAUUUUAAUACUGAAAAGAAAAGGGGAAUUAUUAAGCAAAGUAUGAUUGGUGGUCUUUUGCUUGUUGCAUCUAGAUAUUUUUAUGAUGUGGUUCAUUUAGGUGUUUAAAUUCUCUAUUGAACACCAGUGUAAGAAAGCUACAAGCACAAAAUUAGGCCACAAAAGCGGAUGUGGCCACUGGCCAAACACGUCCUCAACUUGGCUCACUCAAGUUACUAAAUAUCGGUCGAUAUGUAUCUGGAUUUUGACAUUCUAAUAUGAAUAUUUUAGUAAAUGUCAACUCAGACUGUCUAAUAUUUUUAUGAUGUGGUUCAUUUAGGUGUUUAAAUUUUCUAUUGAACACCAGUGUAAGAAAGCUACAAGCACAAAAUUAGGCCACAAAAGCGGAUGUGGCCACUGGCCAAACACGUCUUCAACUUGGCUCACUCAAGUUACUAAAUAUCGGUCGAUAUGUAUUUGAAUUUUGACAUUCUAAUAUGAAUAUUUUAGUAAAUGUCAACUCAGACUGUCUAAUAUAGGCCGAUACAUAACCAUAUCACCGAUACAGUUACUGAUAUCAGCCGAUAUGUAUCUGGAUUUUGGUAUUACGAUACGGAUAUUUUAGUAAAUGUCAACCCAGACAGUCUAAUAUAGGCCAAUACAGGACUAUAUCACCGAUACAGUUACUGAUACUGCGAUUUAGGUUUCCCACUGAACCAAUGCUAUAAUUGAAAAAAAGAAGAAAAAAAAGAAACGUAAAAGAAUACUGGCAAUGUUAUUAUGUCUAGAAGUUCACUCAAAGAGAGAGAACACAAGAAAUUCCCAUCUCCAUAGCAGAACCUAUUUCUUCGAUGGCAUUUAUACACUACGUUUUAUAGCAAUAUUUUUUGAGUUGACAACUCUUUAGAGAUUCUAAAAAAUAAAAAUGCCAUUGAACUUUGUUUUUAGACCUCUCCUCGAUCCCAUAAGAAAGAAAUGCUAAAUAACGAACUAAAAAUAAAACAACUACGUGUUCCAAAUCAGUCAAAUCACUACGCAUCUGAAUUACCCAUAGUCAAUUUCUAGGUUUUUCAUUUCAGCUGCAUAACCAAUGGAUGAAUGGGUGAUCUAAGAGAUGUCAGUGGCUAUGGUUUUCAUUUCUAGGGUUUAUUGGCUUGAAUUUGCUUUUUAUUAACAAGUUUGUUAGAUUUAUUUUGAUUAUCAUGGUUCUUAUUUUAUUUUUUUCAGGUGUGUUUUAUAACUGAGUUAUGUAUAUUUUGCUCAAUGGGUAAUGCAGGUAAAAUGAGGUUAGCCCAUCUGAAAUGAAGAAAUGAACAACAUUAAGAGCAUACGGAACAUGUUGAAUUUGUAGGGUCCAUGGGUCCGUUAGCCUGGGGCUAUAUAUCCAUUUUCUCUGUUACUCAUUUUGCAGGUGGAGUUCAACAUUUUCAUAAAUAAUUAAGGCCCCGUUUGACCCAAAAUUUUUCUUGAAUUCUUUAGUUAAUUUGAUUUUUGAGGUUUGGUUAUCUCUAGUAAAUUUUUUUAAUCGUUUGAUCGAAUUUUUAUAUUUUUUUGGUUCUUUUUAAUGAGAAGAGUCUGAAAAUAUAAAAAUAUUCAUCUAAUUUGGAAAGAUGUUCACUAAAGAAAAAAAAAUAACACUUUUUACUCAACAAAUUAGUUAAAUUUUUAUUUCUUAAUGCAUUUUCGGUUCCAAAUUUGAACAAUCUUUUUUCAUUUUGAGAUUUUCUCAUCAACAAGAAAAGAAAAAGCAUAAUUUUUUUAUUAAACAGAGAAAAAAGUCACAAAAAGAUGGAAAAACUUCAAAAUCAAAGCACCUAAAAAAUCUCAAUUUUUUUUUAUGCCAAACUGGGCCUUACUAUUGGUAUUUAUCCUGUUGUACAUAUCACUUUAAAUGUGCAUUUUUACUCUAUGGAUA